rnacentral:rRNA from 1 species
GGCUCAGAACGAACGCUGGCGGCGUGCUUAACACAUGCAAGUCGAACGAACCUUCGGGUUAGUGGCGGACGGGUGAGUAACGCGUGAGAAUCUGCCCUCAGGAGGGGGAUAACGGUUGGAAACGACCGCUAAUACCCCAUAUGCCGAGAGGUGAAAAGAAAUUCGCCUGAGGAUGAGCUCGCGUCUGAUUAGCUAGUUGGUGUGGUAAUGGCGCAGCAAGGCUUCGAUCAGUAGCUGGUCUGAGAGGAUGAUCAGCCACACUGGGACUGAGACACGGACCAGACUCCUACGGGAGUCUGCAGUGGG